rnacentral:rRNA from 1 species
CGGGGGAGCAAGCGUUGUUCGGAUUUACUGGGCGUAAAGGGCGCGUAGGCGGCCUCUGCAAGUCGACUGUGAAAUCUCCGGGCUUAACCCGGAACGGUCAGCCGAUACUGCAGGGCUAGAGUGCAGAAGGGGCAACUGGAAUUCUCGGUGUAGCGGUGAAAUGCGUAGAUAUCGAGAGGAACACCUGCGGCGAAGGCGGGUUGCUGGGCUGACACUGACGCUGAGGCGCGAAAGCUAGGGGAGCGAACGGGAUUAGAUACCCCGGUAGUCCUAGCCUUAAACGAUGAAUGCUUGGUGUCUGGGGUUUUAUAGUCCCCGGGUGCCGUCGCUAACGCUUUAAGCAUUCCGCCUGGGGAGUACGGUCGCAAGACUG